rnacentral:rRNA from 1 species
AUUGAACGCUGGCGGCAUGCUUUACACAUGCAAGUCGAACGGUAACAGGUCUUCGGAUGCUGACGAGUGGCGAACGGGUGAGUAAUGUAUCGGAACGUGCCCAGUAGUGGGGGAUAACUACUCGAAAGAGUGGCUAAUACCGCAUGAGAACUGAGGUUGAAAGCGGGGGACCUUCGGGCCUCGCGCUACUGGAGCGGCCGAUAUCAGAUUAGGUAGUUGGUGGGGUAAAGGCCUACCAAGCCGACGAUCUGUAGCUGGUCUGAGAGGACGACCAGCCACACUGGGACUGAGACACGGCCCAGACUCCUACGGGAGGCAGCAGUGGGGAAUUUUGGACAAUGGACGCAAGUCUGAUCCAGCAAUGCCGCGUGCAGGACGAAGGCCUUCGGGUUGUAAACUGCUUUUAUACAGGAAGAAACACCUCCACGUGUGGAGGCUUGACGGUACUGUAGGAAUAAGGAUCGGCUAACUCCGUGCCAGCAGCCGCGGUAAACU